AGAGAACGCUGGCGGCAGGCCUAACACAUGCAAGUCGAACGAAGCCUUCGGGCUUAGUGGCAGACGGGUGAGUAACACGUGGGAACGUACCUUUUGGUUCGGAACAACUCAGGGAAACUUGAGCUAAUACCGGAUGAGCCCUUAGGGGGGAAGAUUUAUCGCCGAAAGAGCGGCCCGCGUUAGAUUAGCUAGUUGGUGAGGUAAAGGCUCACCAAGGCUACGAUCUAUAGCUGGUCUGAGAGGAUGAUCAGCCACACUGGGACUGAGACACGGCCCAGACUCCUACGGGAGGCAGCAGUGGGGAAUCUUGCGCAAUGGGCGAAAGCCUGACGCAGCCAUGCCGCGUGAAUGAUGAGGGUCUUAGGAUUGUAAAAUUCUUUUACCAGGGACGAUAAUGACGGUACCUGGAGAAAAAGCCCCGGCUAACUUCGUGCCAGCCGCCGCAGUAACAC
rnacentral:rRNA from 1 species